rnacentral:tRNA from 1 species
GGCGAAGUAGUUUAUGUAAAAUAUCUACUUUACGCGUAGGGGAAGGAUAUGUUCUUAUCGCCA